GUGAUUUACUCUCUAAUAUCUACACACACCUGUGAACUGUUUAGUUUGGUCCUCUGGAUCAUUUUUUACAAACAUUGUGUAAUGAACGUCAUAUUAUUAUAACAAAAUA
rnacentral:misc_RNA from 1 species